rnacentral:rRNA from 1 species
GACGGAGGGGGCUAGCGUUGUUCGGAAUUACUGGGCGUAAAGAGUGCGUAGGUGGUUUAGUAAGUUGGAAGUGAAAGCCCGGGGCUUAACCUCGGAAUAGCUUUCAAAACUACUAAUCUAGAGUGUAGUAGGGGAUGAUGGAAUUCCUAGUGUAGAGGUGAAAUUCUUAGAUAUUAGGAGGAACACCGGUGGCGAAGGCGGUCAUCUGGGCUACAACUGACACUGAUGCACGAAAGCGUGGGGAGCAAACGGG